CCUACGGGAGGCAGCAGUGGGGAAUAUUGCACAAUGGGGGAAACCCUGAUGCAGCGACGCCGCGUGAAGGAAGAAGUAUUUAGGUAUUUAAACUUCUAUCAGCAGGGAAGAAAAUGACGGUACCUGACUAAGAAGCCCCGACUAACUACGUGCCAGCAGCCGCGGUAAUACGUAGGGUGCAAGCGUUAUCCGGAUUUACUGGGUGUAAAGGGAGCGUAGGCGGUUUAGCAAGUCAGAAGGGAAAGCCCGGGGCUCAAAUCCGGGACUGCUUUUGAAACUGUUGAACUAGAGUGCAGGAGAGGUAAGUGGAAUGCCUAGUGUAGCGGUGAAAUGCGUAGAUAUUAGGAGGAACACCAGGGGCGAAGGCGGCUUACUGGACUGUAAAUGACGCUGAGGCUCGAAAGCGUGGGGAGCAAACAGGAUUAGAUACCCGGGUAGUC
rnacentral:rRNA from 1 species